rnacentral:rRNA from 1 species
GUCGAGCGAACGGACGAGAAGCUUGCUUCUCUGAUGUUAGCGGCGGACGGGUGAGUAACACGUGGAUAACCUACCUAUAAGACUGGGAUAACUUCGGGAAACCGUAGCUAAUACCGGAUAAUAUUUUGAACCGCAUGGUUCAAAAGUGAAAGACGGUCUUGCUGUCACUUAUAGAUGGAUCCGCGCUGCAUUAGCUAGUUGGUAAGGUAACGGCUUACCAAGGCAACGAUGCAUAGCCGACCUGAGAGGGUGAUCGGCCACACUGGAACUGAGACACGGUCCAGACUCCUACGGGAGGCAGCAGUAGGGAAUCUUCCGCAAUGGGCGAAAGCCUGACGGAGCAACGCCGCGUGAGUGAUGAAGGUCUUCGGAUCGUAAAACUCUGUUAUUAGGGAAGAACAUAUGUGUAAGUAACUGUGCACAUCUUGACGGUACCUAAUCAGAAAGCCACGGCUAACUACGUGCCAGCAGCCGCGGUAAUACGUAGGUGGCAAGCGUUAUCCGGAAUUAUUGGGCGUAAAGCGCGCGUAGGCGGUUUUUUAAGUCUGAUGUGAAAGCCCACGGCUCAACCGUGGAGGGUCAUUGGAAACUGGAAAACUUGAGUGCAGAAGAGGAAAGUGGAAUUCCAUGUGUAGCGGUGAAAUGCGCAGAGAUAUGGAGGAACACCAGUGGCGAAGGCGACUUUCUGGUCUGUAACUGACGCUGAUGUGCGAAAGCGUGGGGAUCAAACAGGAUUAGAUACCCUGGUAGUCCACGCCGUAAACGAUGAGUGCUAAGUGUUAGGGG